rnacentral:hammerhead_ribozyme from 1 species
AUCCAGCUCAUGAGUCCCAAAUAGAACGAAACGCGUGUCCUGAAU